AUGUUGAAGUCUGCCCUAAGUUUUAUCCAUGAAAUAAGUAGAAUGCCUGGUAACUCUUGUGUCCCCAUAUGAUGGCACGUACCCAUUAUCAGUUGCCAACUUCAACAUGAUAAAAAACAUUACAAGAACAGAGGUCAGAGAGAUGAAAGAGAUAAGAAACACCCAUGAGCAAGCAAGAGCCUUAUACACAGAAAUACCAGAAAUAAUCCACACAAACAUUUCUUUUUGCCAAGACCUCUACAAAGUUGCAGCAAGGGAAGGGAGAACCUUAUGAAAUACAAAUUCAAAAGUCUAAUCA
rnacentral:lncRNA from 1 species